UAUACCCUUCAGAGACCCACUCCACUCCUAUGUUUGCUCAUCCACACAGACGUAUUGAGUCCUUUUUUACGUGCUUCAGAGACCCUCUCCCCUGUUGCGUUUUUGAGUCGAUGUUCCAGAUGUUGCAUGUUUGAGCUGAUGUUGAAGAUGCGCAGCUGUUGCCGAUGCUAUUGAAUCUUGAAUAUCGAUGUUGCAGCCCAGCUGGUUAUUCACUUCCUAUUUGUAGUUUUGAUUUUUCAUUUUUGUGCCUAGGCAACAUAUUUGAUUUUACAAAUCUGUGUAGUGUUUGUUUCGU
rnacentral:misc_RNA from 1 species